rnacentral:rRNA from 1 species
UGAGGGAUAUUGGUCAAUGGGCGCAAGCCUGAACCAGCGACGCCGCGUGGGUGAAGAAGGUCUUCGGAUCGUAAAGCCCUUUUCCCACUGAAGAGGAAGGACGGUAGGUGGGGAAGAAGUCUCGGCUACUACGUGCCAGCAGCCGCGGUAAAACGUAGGAGACAAGCGUUAUCCGGAGUUACUGGGCGUAAAGGGCGUGCAGGUGGCGUCUUAAGUCUGUUGUGAAAGCGCCUGGCUUAACCGGGCGAGGCCAAUGGAGACUGAGAGGCUGGAGGACGGCGGAGGGGUGUGGAAUUCCGGGUGUAGUGGUGAAAUGCGUAGAGAUCCGGAGGAACACCAGAGGCGAAGGCGGCACUCUAAGCCGUACCUGACACUGAGACGCGACAGCACGGGGAGCAAACG